CCUUGCAUCUGGCUGAGUGAAGUGAAGAAUUAAAGACAGCCGGAGGUCAGAAAGUUCCCAGGACUAGGAUCACUUCUGCAGGGUUAUUUUAUUUUAGGAUAUUAUCUAAACAAGGAAAGUAUCGAGUCAACAUUGUGCCCUUUGUCCUCAAGAACUGGCAACUUCAUGUGCCAACCUUUUCCAUAAAGACAGCAGAGGUGUUCCCAGCGCUCAUCCAUGCUUCCAAUACUCAUCUCAUUCCUGGCGAUGCAUUUUUUCCUGGGAGACGUCCAAGCACAGUCAGUUUCCCAGGCUGAUGCCCAUGUCACCAUCUUCGAAGGAGACUCAGUGGAGCUCAGAUGCAACUAUUCCUAUGGUGGAGCUUCUUAUCUCUUUUGGUACAUGCAGCCCCAUGGCCACAGCCUCCAGUUUCUCCUCAAAUACAUCUCAGGAGACCCCGUUGUUCACGGCGUGAAUGGCUUUGAGGCUGAGUUUAGCAAGAGCGACUCUUCCUUCCACCUGAAGAAAGCCUCUGUGCACCUGAGCGACUCGGCUGUGUACUUCUGUGCUCUGAGUGCACAGUGUGUGGGGCUGCAGGAGGAGCUAAACACAAACCUGUAAGAUGCUGGGGAGGACUAUAGCUGAGUGACUUGCGAUCAUCCAUGCUCCUGUAAGUAACCUAAAUAAAGUUAUUAGUUCUCCCAGAUGGACUUCUCUGCAGCCAUUACUUUGGGCUGUCAUUGCUGCUCUACCUACCGUAUAUAAGCAUUGGUCACAGCUUCCAGGAAAGUAACA